CUCAGGCUGACCCACCUUCUCCAAUACUCCGUGCUCAUCCAUAUCCUCGCCGAAAUCCAGUUCCAUAUCUAUUAUGGCGACGGCUGUGGAAUGCGCGUCCAUUUUGCAAGCGAUGGGUGCUACACAGUAAAGAAAAAUUUUAAAGACAUGAAUGUAAUCAGAUGUUGGAAGCUAAGCAAAUUCCUAUACAUUUAGCUGUGCGGGUUUUAUUUUUUCCAGUGUGCGAAGCUGCUGGCGACAGAAGCGGAAACUUGGAAUAAUUUAUGCGUGCCAACUGGGUGCAAACUUCUAUCUAAUCGCUUGAUUCCGCGUUGUGAGAACUUUGGGCCCAUAAUCCAGCAUUCCAUGCCGGAGACCUAUACGCAAAGUAUUGACGCAACGAUCCCGCAUAUUUAUCGGCCCCUUGUUAACCAAACGCAUGUAGAAGCCGCCGUUUCCACGAAAAAUUGUGCGUUAUUCGAAUAAAUUGACGCAGGACUAAGUGGGGCAGAGCCUGAUUUCCAUAAAAAAUAAAAGAUAAUAGGGCGAUCGCCGAAGUUCUUAUCAGCCAAUGUGGACGCCCUUUUUAACCGAGGGACAUUACGUGAACUGCUAAUUGUACGCGAAGUAAGAGCUUUUAUAGUUCCUGAGAUCUCGACGUUCAUACGGAGGGAGAGACGAACAUGGCCGGAUUUACUUAACGAGUAAGAGAGUUGUAAGGUUUUAUGCAAAGCACCGCCACAUUACCUUUACUCGCGGCAGAAGUGUAUCCCACUUUGUGUCACCUACCAUCACCCGGAAUUUAUGCUGAACAGUGUAAUAUUUUAUUUAAAUGCGCUGCUGAUGUUUGUCCUGACUAUUUGUCCUCUUCGCCAAUAUAUCAUUUGGGGAGCUGCCGAAAAAAGACACUGACAGGACGACAAAUUUGUCCGCUAUUUAUGCGGCGGCAAACAGGAGGCCAUCGACCAUCGGCCAUCGGGGCCUCGACCCAUCGGAUCCGAACUGGACAAGCCGCCGCACUGCAGCUAGAAUCCAAAAAGAGGAGAGGGGAAUGGCUGUAUAAAUAGUUAUAGCCAGCGAAAUCAGCGAAAUCAAAACUAAAGCAAUUCCAAAUAUAAUUAAUUGCAAUUGA